rnacentral:rRNA from 1 species
AAUGCCACACUCCAGGAACAAUAUCCGGCUCUAUACAACAUUGUGCGUCACAAGGGUGAUACUAUUUCCACUGUAAUGGAAUCAUUUCCGCCAAAUGUGACGUUCAGAAGAGAUUUAAUUGGACCUAGACUCCAAUCGUGGUACAUCCUGCUUCAACGGUUGUCCACGGUGCAAUUGUCACAUGGGUCUGAUGUAUUUUGAUGGAACCUACAUGAGAAUGGAAAAUUCUCAGUGGAGUCUAUGUAUAAAGCGUUAAUCCAGUCUGAUGUGCUAGUUGAUAAUAAUAAGAAGAUCUGA